GAUGAACGCUGGCGGCGUGCCUAAUACAUGCAAGUCGAGCGAACGGACGAGAAGCUUGCUUCUCUGAUGUUAGCGGCGGACGGGUGAGUAACACGUGGAUAACCUACCUAUAAGACUGGGAUAACUUCGGGAAACCGGAGCUAAUACCGGAUAAUAUUUUGAACCGCAUGGUUCAAAAGUGAAAGACGGUCUUGCUGUCACUUAUAGAUGGAUCCGCGCUGCAUUAGCUAGUUGGUAAGGUAACGGCUUACCAAGGCAACGAUGCAUAGCCGACCUGAGAGGGUGAUCGGCCACACUGGAACUGAGACACGGUCCAGACUCCUACGGGAGGCAGCAGUAGGGAAUCUUCCGCAAUGGGCGAAAGCCUGACGGAGCAACGCCGCGUGAGUGAUGAAGGUCUUCGGAUCGUAAAACUCUGUUAUUAGGGAAGAACAUAUGUGUAAGUAACUGUGCACAUCUUGACGGUACCUAAUCAGAAAGCCACGGCUAACUACGUGCCAGCAGCCGCGGUAAUACGUAGGUGGCAAGCGUUAUCCGGAAUUAUUGGGCGUAAAGCGCGCGUAGGCAGUUUUUUAAGUCUGAUGUGAAAGCCCACGGCUCAACCGUGGAGGGUCAUUGGAAACUGGAAAACUUGAGUGCAGAAGAGGAAAGUGGAAUUCCAUGUGUAGCGGUGAAAUGCGCAGAGAUAUGGAGGAACACCAGUGGCGAAGGCGACUUUCUGGUCUGUAACUGACGCUGAUGUGCGAAAGCGUGGGGAUCAAACAGGAUUAGAUACCCUGGUAGUCCACGCCGUAAACGAUGAGUGCUAAGUGUUAGGGGGUUUCCGCCCCUUAGUGCUGCAGCUAACGCAUUAAGCACUCCGCCUGGGGAGUACGACCGCAAGGUUGAAACUCAAAGGAAUUGACGGGGACCCGCACAAGCGGUGGAGCAUGUGGUUUAAUUCGAAGCAACGCGAAGAACCUUACCAAAUCUUGACAUCCUUUGACAACUCUAGAGAUAGAGCCUUCCCCUUCGGGGGACAAAGUGACAGGUGGUGCAUGGUUGUCGUCAGCUCGUGUCGUGAGAUGUUGGGUUAAGUCCCGCAACGAGCGCAACCCUUAAGCUUAGUUGCCAUCAUUAAGUUGGGCACUCUAAGUUGACUGCCGGUGACAAACCGGAGGAAGGUGGGGAUGACGUCAAAUCAUCAUGCCCCUUAUGAUUUGGGCUACACACGUGCUACAAUGGACAAUACAAAGGGCAGCGAAACCGCGAGGUCAAGCAAAUCCCAUAAAGUUGUUCUCAGUUCGGAUUGUAGUCUGCAACUCGACUACAUGAAGCUGGAAUCGCUAGUAAUCGUAGAUCAGCAUGCUACGGUGAAUACGUUCCCGGGUCU
rnacentral:rRNA from 1 species